AUUGAACGCUGGCGGCAGGCCUAACACAUGCAAGUCGAGCGAGCGGCGGACGGGUGAGGAAUGUAUGGGGACUGCCAGAGAGAGGGGGAUAACUACUGGAAACGGUGGCUAAUACCGCAUACUGUCGGAUAACCCAAAGGGGGUUAGCUAGUAGGUAAGGUAAUGGUCUACCUAGGCGACGAUCCCUAGCUGGUCUGAGAGGAUGAUCAGCCACACUGGAACUGAGAAACGGCCCAGAUUCCUACGGAGGAAGCAGUUGGGAAUAUUGUACAAUGUGCGCAAGCCUGAUCCAGCCAUGCCGCGUGUAUGAAGAAGGCCCUAGGUUUGUAAAGUACUUUCAGUCGUGAGGCGUUACCAACAGAAGAAGCACCGGCUAACUCCGUGCCAGCCGCCGCGGUAAUUC
rnacentral:rRNA from 1 species